rnacentral:tRNA from 1 species
GAAAGGCUCAAAACAAAAACUGCUAAUUCUUGUAUCUGAGACUAACCAUAUCAGGCCUUUCC